rnacentral:rRNA from 1 species
GACGAACGCUGGCGGCGUGCUUAACACAUGCAAGUCGAACGAAGUGGCGAACGGGUGAGUAACGCGUAAUCAACCUGCCCUUCAGAGGGGGACAACAGUUGGACCCGACUGCUAAUACCGCAUAAUGAAGGAGGGGAUUGAGUCGGAUUAGCUAGGUGGGGGGGUAACGGCCCACCAAGGCGAUGAUCAGUCGCCGGUCUGAGAGGAUGAACGGCAACAUUGGGACUGAGACACGGCCCAGACUCCUACGGGAGGCAGCAGUGGGGAAUCUUCCGCAAUGGACGAAAGUCUGACGGAGCAACGCCGCGUGAGUGAUGACGGCCUUCGGGUUGUAAAGCUCUGUUAAUCGGGACGCGGUACCGGAAUAGAAAGCCACGGCUAACUACGUGCCAGCCGCCGCGGUAAUUC